GAGCAGGUCUGUCCGAGCGUCUGCCACCUGAAAACGUUGUCGUACACGUACGACAAGAGUGAGGGGCUGCACGCGCAAACCGCACUGCACCCCUUGAAGAGGCAUUGUGGACGGUGGACCGCGACCGGGUGAGACAAUCGUCGCCAUAAACGGUUGCGUCGUCUGGUCGGUGCCGUCGCUCUCUGCACCGUUUGGACCUCGGAUCAGG
rnacentral:misc_RNA from 1 species